AGCAAGAGGACGACUUAGAAUUAUCGAAGCUAUAAAUCAAUUUUUUACUUUCACAUAUUAUUUUAUAUCGGUACAAUUAUGAAAAAUCGGUCUAGUCGGCACCACUGCCCACAACUGGAAGAGACGAAAAACACAACAACAAUUUUUCGCCCCUCCGAAAUCGGGAUUCUACUGGCUGAUUCCACUGAUUCUGCGGAAGCUACAGGAAAUAAUUACCCUCGCUCAUUCAUCACCCGGGUAACGAUGGCUUCCCAGCAUUCCGUAGCGCUGGAGCUACGGGAAUCUUUAUGUUAUGACCCUGGCCGGGUAGGAUUUUCCUGCAAGAAUCAUCAAAGAAUAUAAAUCGAUUAUAGUUUCUCACCGUAUGUAAGUAAAUCAAGUUCAAUAAAGAUAAUGUGAAUAAA